rnacentral:rRNA from 1 species
CGCAUGGCACGAAGUCUGACGGAGCACGCCGCGUGAGUGAUGAAGGUUUUCGGAUCGUAAAGCUCUGUUGUUAGGGAAGAACAAGUACCGUUCGAAUAGGGCGGUACCUUGACGGUACCUAACCAGAAAGCCACGGCUAACUACGUGCCAGCAGCCGCGGUAAUACGUAGGUGGCAAGCGUUGUCCGGAAUUAUUGGGCGUAAAGGGCUCGCAGGCGGUUCCUUAAGUCUGAUGUGAAAGCCCCCGGCUCAACCGGGGAGGGUCAUUGGAAACUGGGGAACUUGAGUGCAGAAAAGGAGAGUGGAAUUCCACGUGUAGCGGUGAAAUGCGUAAAGAUGUGGAGGAACACCAGUGGCGAAGGCGACUCUCUGGUCUGUAACUGACGCUGAGGAGCGAAAGCGUGGGGAGCGAACAGGAUUAAAUACCCUGGUAGUCCACGCCGUAAACGAUGAGUGCUAAGUGUUAGGGGGUUUCCGCCCCUUAGUGCUGCAGCUAACGCAUUAAGCACUCCGCCUGGGGAGUACGGUCGCAAGACUGAAACUCAAAUGAAUUGACGGA